CACAGUGCUGCAUGGCUGUCGUCAGCUCGUGCCGUGAGGUGUUGGGUUAAGUCCCGCAACGAGCGCAACCCUCAUCGCUAGUUACAUGUGUCUAGCGAGACUGCCAGGUUAACCCCUGGAGGAAGGUGGGGAUGACGUCAAGUCAGCAUGGCCUUUAUGCCCAGGGCUACACACACGCUACAAUGGUCGGCACAAUGGGAUGCCAAGCCGUGAGGCGGAGCAAAUCCUCAAAGCCGGCCUCAGUUCGAAUUGGAGGCUGCAACUCGCCUCCAUGAAGUCGGAGUUUGCUAGUAACCGCAGGUCAGCUAUACUGCGGUGAAUACGUUCCCGGGGCUU
rnacentral:rRNA from 1 species